rnacentral:rRNA from 1 species
AACGAACGCUGGCGGCGUGCCUAACACAUGCAAGUCGAACGAGAAAGUCCUUCGGGAUGAGUAGAGUGGCAGACGGGUGAGUAAUGAAUAGGAACAUACCUUUGGGUGGGGGAUAACUACGGGAAACUGUGGCUAAUACCGCAUGAGAUCGCAAGAUGAAAGGUGGCUUAGGGCAACUUAAGCUAUCGCCGAUAGAGUGGCCUAUUUCCCAUUAGCUAGUUGGUAGGGUAAAGGCCUACCAAGGCGACGAUGGGUAGCUGGUCUGAGAGGACGGUCAGCCACACUGGAACUGGGACAAGGUCCAGACUCCUACGGGAGGCAGCAGUGGGGAAUUUUGCACAAUGGGCGCAAGCCUGAUGCAGCAACGCCGCGUGAGUGAAGAAGGCCUUUGGGUUGUAAAGCUCUUUCGGUUGGGAAGAAGGGGCUGUGAAAUAACACUUCAUGGUUCUGACGGUACCAGCAGAAGAAGCACCGGCUAAUCUCGUGCCAGCCGCCGCGGUAA